AUUAGUUUUAUUUAAAAGUAAUAGUUUUUUUAUUUUUCCUCAUGCUUUUUUUUAAAAGUAUUUUCACUUGUGCUCUUUUGCUUUGAUGCACUGUAUAAUUAGUCAUUGACCACUCAUCAUUAUCCUAUAAUGUCAUGCUUUACAUUCAGGUUGAAGUAAAUUAAACACAAGUCAUAUGUAUUCGAAAAAUAAGCUUCACUGAUCAUAACUAUGCCCUGCUACAAAGAUUUACAGCUCAAGAAUCAUCUAUUCUAUGGUAUAGCUUUGGGGAAGAUGUGAAAGAGCAAACAAUCGAGAAAAUGGUCUCAAUAAUCAAUACAACCUCUGUUACUUUGUUUAAACUUUCAUUCUCUUUUAAGUGCAGAAUCUACAAAAUAUGAGCAGUAAUUCAAGUGUUUUGAUCCCCCUCAAAUGAGAUGGUUCCAAAGGCCAAUACCAUUUUUGGGGACAAAAGCAAGACAACUGCCAAGAUGGAACCAAAGAGCAUUUUGAUUACCUAUUGCAUUGGGUAAUGAUCAACAGCUUUGGAGGUGCUCCUUGAGGUUGAGAUGGCUAUUGCUGAUGGUAGAGCUUCAAUUACAGCAUCUGCCAGAUCCAUGAUGAAAGAAGAUGUGCAUCCAAGGGCAGGGACGCGGCCCCAAUUCUCAAUUCCAGAUUCAUGUGCCAAGUGUUUGUACCCCAUAUCAAUCUCUUCCAGAGUCUCUAUGUGCUCACUCACAAAGCUUGCAUAUGAAUAAACAUUCAAUUAAAUUAAAAUUUACUAUGGCCCAUACGAAGGUGGACAUAUUAAUCAGAGCUAAGACUGAAGGAAAUGCACCAAGAAAGUUAUCUAUAUAUAUAUAUAUAUAUAUAUUCAAUGAUAGCUUGAAAUGCUGUGUCAAAAUAUAAA